CAUCCCUUCCUCCCACCCCAAGCCGCACCCCCAUCUACCUACUAACCUCAUCCCACCUCUUUGACCUGUCCGUCUUCCCUGGACUGACCUUUUCUCUCCUCUCCACCUUCGGUCCGCCUCCCCCUCUCUCCCUAUUUAUUCCAGUUCCCUCUCCCCGUCCCCCUCUCUGAUGAAGGGUCUAGGCCCGAAACGUCAGCUUUUGUGCUCCUGAGAUGCUGCUUGGCCUGCUGUGCUCAUCCAGCCUCACAUUUUAUUAUUUUAGGAGAGAGAGCUGUUUUGGUUUGUGAUACAAGAGACGAGGCUGUCUAUGCCUUUCACCCAUCGGUAGCUCUCCUCCUGUCCCUGCCUCUAUGCACACACUCUGCCAGGCAUAGUCUUCCUCCCUCUGUGUGUGUGUGUCUCUCUCUCGCUUCAGCUCCUAAAACCUAAGAUGCAUCGGAUAUAAAAACACGCACAUAAACACACACACACACACACACACACAUCAACAAGCCAUGGAGAAAGAUCAGGAAUUACUGCAAGCUGUCAAAACCGAAGAUGUAGCUGCAAUGCAGAAGCUGUUGCAAAGGCCGAAACAAGGCAAAGCGAACAACAUCAGGUGAAGAUGUGCGUGAUUUCAGCAAGGUGCUGAAAAAUAAGUUCAGAUCAAAGAAAUACUUUGCCAAACAUCCUCGCUUGGGUUAUUUACCAGUACAAACAGUUCUAGAAGGCGAGAACCUUGAGACUGGAUCUGUUGGAGUUGCACACAGCGCAACGCGUCUUUGAUCAACACAAAUUGACACAAACCGAGCAACUUCUGAAUGUGACUGAAGUAAUCAACUGUUUAACGUCCAUUUAUGAUGUUUUGGAACAAAACCACAAGGACUUGGUCAAUGUGCCACUCUGUGUCGACAUGUGUCUGAACUGGCUGCUGAACGUAUUUGAUACGGGUAUGAGUGGAAGAAUCAGAGUGCUUUCUUUGAAAAUUGGCUUGACGUGACUCUUCAAGGAUCAUCUAGAGGAAAAAUACAAGUAUCUCUUCAAACAAGUCGCUGAACCCACAGAUUUAUGUGACCAACGAAGCCUGAGUCUUUUGCUUUACGAUGCAGUCCAGAUCCCUUGGCAGCUGGGUGAGGUAGCUUCAUUUGGAGGCUGCAACAUUGAACCAAGUAUCCGCAGUUGCUUCCAACAUGGCCAGAACAAACCAGAGAUUGAUGUUGAACGCUUUGUCGAGUGGAUGAGAUUGGAGCCUCAGUCCAUGGUGUGGCUGCCUGUUCGACACCGUGUGGCAGCUGCUGAAACUGCAAAACAUCAGGCUAAGUGUAACAUCUGCAAAGAGUACCCAA